rnacentral:rRNA from 1 species
CCUACGGGGGGCUGCAGUGAGGAAUAUUGGUCAAUGGACGCAAGUCUGAACCAGCCAUGCCGCGUGCAGGAAGACGGCUCUAUGAGUUGUAAACUGCUUUUGUACCGGGGUAAAAUGCUCUACGAGUAGGGUUUUGAAAGUACGGUACGAAUAAGGAUCGGCUAACUCCGUGCCAGCAGCCGCGGUAAUACGGAGGAUCCGAGCGUUAUCCGGAUUCAUUGGGGUUAAAGGGUGCGUAGGUUGUUUUAUAAGUUAGCGGUGAAAUACCGAUGCUCAACAUCGGGGCUGCCGCUAAUACUGUAGGACUAGAGAUCGGAUGCAGCAGGCGGAAUGUGUAGUGUAGCGGUGAAAUGCUUAGAGAUCAUACAGAACACCGAUUGCGAAGGCAGCUUACCAAGCUACUUCUGACGUUGAGGCACGAAAGCGUGGGGAGCAAACAGGAUUAGAUACCCCGGUAGUC